CUGUUUGGAAGUAAAUUUCAGAAUGAAAGAAAAACAAAAAAGCAAAUAACCAAGUAUGGCUUAAUGUUGCAGUUCUGUGUAAUGGGCUAUAUAAAGUCUUAGGGGAAUUUGUCAGGUUUUUUGUUUGUUUGUUUGUCCCAGCCUAUUACACAUGUAGCAGUUAAGGAGCUGUAGGUGGGAAGUUGUGAGCCCUUUAAGCCUGGAAGCAUUUAGUAACCUUCCAGGCAGGAGGUGGAACCUGCCAGGUCCUUUCCCACAGUCCUCACCAGGUAGCUGUGCUUGAGCCCUUCACACUAAGUCAGCUCCUACCCACGACUGCAGAUGGCUUGGCUGUAUGAUUGACCUUCCACAGCAGCUAGAGCACAGUGAUAAUGAGGCAGUCGUCUCGACCUUAAUUUACAACUUUCCAGGAACAUAGGGCUAGAAGUACUUUUGCCAAGUAGCAUUCUUAGCCUUCAUUUUAUGCCAAUGUUUAGAAAACAAUAAUGUAUAGCAAGUAUAAUUUCUAAAGAAUAAUGCUUUUCUAUAAAUUAUUAAUUGUAAAGAGUCUUGUUUUUUAAAGAGUUGGUAACUCGCCGUGGAGGGUGUAUUUUGUAUGUGUAAAUUCACCACAAUUAAAGGCUGCUUUUCAUCUUGUCAAUCUUUGCUAUGUAGAAUGACUAUCCUGAAUACUAAUCUGCCGAAAGGGCAAUAUGUAGCAACAGCCAGAAUGUAGACUUGAGCUGCCAUGGCAUACUUAGUUAGUUUUUACAUUUACGGAGUACUGUAUUGGAGUCCUGUUUUCAUUAAUCCCUUGGCCUGGAGGAGUUUACCAAUGUGUUGUGUCAACCACUAAAAUGGAACAGUUGCUCCUUCCUUGCUGUUUGCUGCUUUCUGUUCAGCUUUUGCUGACUGGGACUUGUGGGGUGGAAGAACAGCAUUCAGUUGUACUAACUUGCUCUCCUAGAGAGAGUUCUUCACUUCAGCAGAGACAACUAUGUUUAAGGAUGUAGAACAUCUCUCAUUACCAGCUAUGUGUUUGAUAUGAUUACCUUAGAUGAGUAGGGAUAGAAAACCAACUCAAACUUUUGAGGGCCGUGAUAGACCCCGGUAUCAUUUCUGCAAGCUCUCAUUUGGUCUCUGAAACAUGACUACUGCAGGAUCAUUUCUUCACUUCAGACUCUUCAUUGGUGGGAAUGGCCAUGGUCUGUCAAUCUCUAACUCACUGAGAAAUGAGAGAAAUGGAUAAACUUAGAAGUCUUAAAUUCCAUAGUUUAAAGAAUAAUAGAGUGAGACUUAAGAAAAAAGAAUUGUACAGAGAAUACUGCAUACUAAAAGAAGAAUGUAUUUGUUGCAGACUAAAGGAUACUAAUAGACUAGAAACCACUUGACAGCAGUUUGUGAGGUGGAUGGACAGAAAACUUCAGAACACAAUUUUAGAUCAAAGCCCUAACAUAAGAUGACCCUUGUCAGCCUCAUGUAACUAUCUUAAGGUUUUGACUGUGAUGACACAUCCAUUAAACGUUGCUGUAAAAUGGGUCAUGCAACAUCUUAAGUUGGCCGGAUACACUUAUGGAAGGACUAGAGACACUUAAAUGUUGAGACAGAUCAUGGUUCUGGUAACAUCACUGGAGUGAUAGCAUGUGUGUCCCUGAAGUUAACACCUACUGAGGCUUGCCCUUCUGUUAGGCUUGGCUUGGUUGUGAGUAGACCUGAUAGAGAUGAUUAAAGCUAUCUUAGAUAGCUUUCACAUGGGUCACAUAUCAGAUAGCUUGCAUAUCAGAUAUUUACAUUAUAAUUCAUAACAGCAAAAUUAUAUUUAUGAAGUCGCAACAAAUAAUUUUAUGAUUGGAGAGUCACAACAGCAUGAGGGAACUGUAUUAAAGGGUCACAACAUUGGCAAGGUUGAGAGCCAUUGCUCUAGGCCAUCAUUACAUACUUGAGCCCUCUGAUACUCUCUCCCUCAAGCCUUUUUCCUAUUGUGUUGGACAAUUAUAUAUUUUAAAGAGAACUACAAAGAAAAAUUAGUCAUAAGUAACUCUUUUGGAAUGUUUACUUAAAUUUAGGUAUUGUCAUGUGACUCAGGUAAAGUUAGAAUUGACACAGAACAGGGGUCUAUUUUUUAGCUUGCUAGAGUAGAAAAUGCAAAACUAUAUUCUCACUGCAUAUGCACCUCGCUCCCCGUCAUCGGAAGUGCUGCUGCCUUGUGUGUUAGGCAGGCAGUCAUCUUAUUCUAGUCAACAUUUGCCAAUGAUACAGAGAUACCUCCAUUUAUAUUUUGUAUUUUAAAAAAGUAGAUUAAAGAUAGAACUGUAUAACCCACACUUUUUGACAAAAAAGUGCAAUAUAAACAUAUAACGGGUGUGUGUGCAACAUCAUUUAUAACAAUUUCUGUUGGUACAAGGUGUUCUAAAGUUCAUCUUCCAUAUAGGAGCAUUCAGUAUGAAGUAAGUUAGUCCAGCUUCAUAAUCUGAGCCAUAAUUUUGUUAUUGCCAUACUUUCUUUGAAAUAGUAAUAAAAUUUUAUAACUCAAAAUUUAAUGUCCUCUUAACUAUGCGCUACCCAUGGCAAGGAAACAUUGUGGGGUUUUGUGGUUGGUUUUGGUCCAGAUUUUUUUUUUUCUUUUCCACAUUUCUCUUAAGGUAUACUUUCUAUUUUUCUGUACUGACAUGCAAUAAAUUGAUACAUGAACAGC
rnacentral:lncRNA from 1 species